rnacentral:rRNA from 1 species
UACGGAGGAUGCAAGCGUUAUCCGGAAUGAUUGGGCGUAAAGCGUCCGCAGGUGGCUGUGUAAGUUUGCUGUCAAAGAGCAAAGCUCAACUUUGUAAAGGCAGUGGAAACUACACGGCUAGAGUGCGUUCGGGGCAGAGGGAAUUCCUGGUGUAGCGGUGAAAUGCGUAGAGAUCAGGAAGAACACCCGUGGCGAAGGCGGCUCUCUGGAACGCAACUGACGCUGAGACGCGAAAGCGUGGGGAGCAAACAGG